rnacentral:rRNA from 1 species
GUAGGGGGGGCGAGCGUUGUCCGGAUUUAUUGGGCGUAAAGAGCUCGUAGGGCGGCUUGGCAAGUCGGGUCGUGAAAUCCCGAGGCUCAACCUCGGAUCGUCGGUCGAAACUGCCAUGGCUAGGGUCCGGUAGAGGAGAGUGGAAUUCCCGGUGUAGCGGUGAAAUGCGCAGAUAUCGGGAGGAACACCAGUAGCGAAGGCGGCUCUCUGGGCCGGUACCGACGCUGAGGAGCGAAAGCGUGGGGAGCAAACAGGAUUAGAUACCCUGGUAGUCCACGCCGUAAACGUUGGGUACUAGGUGUGGCGAGUUGUACCAACACUUGCCGUGCCGCAGCUAACGCAUUAAGUACCCCGCCUGGGGAGUACGGUCGCAAGGCUA